UUGAGAUUUGUGCCAAAAAAAACACCUAUGCAGUAGUAAGAACCAAAUUGUUGUAUGCAUCAAAAUGUUAGGCUACGAAUAAGAGACAAGCACAGAAGAUGAGCACCAAAAAUUGUAAAAUGGUAAGUACAAUAUGUAGCGACGUGCUGACGUAAGGUGUUAGACAUGAUGCAUUUGUAAAGGUGACUUGUGACAAUUAAGGAAAAUGCGGAGCUACAGUGAGUAAAAAUGCAUCCGAAUGAGAAAUGAAUACCAAGGGCAUGUGGCUCAGUUUUUACAUUAAAGGACAGAGAGACUGGCAUUGACAGUGUAUGCAGUCCCUUAUAAGUAUGGGUGAAGAAGAACUCAUAGAGCCACCAUGGUAGUUAGGAUAAGUCUAGUUUGGUCAUGAAUUUUUUACAUGAUUAAUAGAGAUAAUUAAGAAAGAUUCAGAAUAAUGCAUUUCUCACUUCACCAACUAAAUAAUAUAUGAGAAAGGAAAGCAUUAUAUUUGAAUUGUAACAAAUACCUAUAGUCGAUCGGAAGACGAUCAUCCAUCAUUUCUCAAAGCAACAACCCAUCAGUUAGAAAUAUGAUGUUGCUCACAUAGCAAUAAUACAUAUGGAGAGAGAAAAGCAAACUAGGAGAAACUUCCUCGUCAACCAUACCCCAAGUGAACAAGAAAGCUAACAACCUUGUGUCCAUUAGAAUAGUCUAAUAAUAAUACAACCUAGAUGCUGCUGAAUUUCAAGCAAUAUUCAACUAAAGAUUCCAAUGGCCAGAAAAGGAAAGAGGCCAUACCAGAUCUGUUUGAUGUUGCAAAUGAAUAGUGCUAUAUCCAACCCUUUCACCAAGUUUGAUACCCAUCUAUUCAGCUAGUAGUGAGGAAACAGACUGUGAAAGAACACUACCUUAUAGUAUAAAAAGAAUUGCCAUAAGAUACAGCAAAUCAAAGUAUGCUAUAGCAUCAAUUACCUGCUCAUGUCUUGAAUCUAGAGUUUUGAUGUUAAUUUCAACUACUAAGAUUUGAUGGUCAAAAGGGUAAAUAACAUGCAAGACUAGAGAAACUGAAAAAAAAUAUAAUGGCAUGCAGUUUUCGUGGCAAAGGUAGGAUUUCAGCAAUAUAUCACUCACAGAGCCAGAAGCCAAGAGAUUCUUUCUUCAGGCACUAGAAGUUAGAAAGCUUAGAAGUUAUGCAAGCUAAUACCUUGAAUCAAGUUUCACCGUACCGGAUCCGGUAGGCGUACCGGUCGCCUACCAGACCGGUAUGGUUCCGAUUCGUUCCGGAACCGGCCGGUACGAACCGGCCAGCUUUUUUCCGUCGGAGCCGGAGAAGAAGAAGAGAAGGAGAGAGAGCGCGGGGAAGAGAGGGAGGGAGGAGACCCGUGGCUGCCAUUGGAGAGCCGCAGAGGGGAGGCGGAGGCCGGAGAAGGGCGGCGGAGCCCGCAGGGGUGCGGGGGAACCCGCGGGGGCGCGGCGGAGGCCGAGGCCGCGGCCGCGUCCCUGCCCCUCGCAGGCUCCGCCACCCCUCCGCGGCUCUCCAAUGGCGGCUACGGGUCUCCUCCUUCCCUCUCUUCCCCGCGCUCUCUCUCCUUCUCUUCGUCUUCUUCGUCUCCGGCACAGAACCAGCCCGUACCGGUUUCCACUGCUCCGGUAUACCGGUUACAAAUAGAGCUGUUAACGGGCCGAGUUGCUCGGGCUCGGCUUGGUAAAAGCUCGGUUCGUUAGUCAAACGAGCCCGAGCCCGAGCCCGAGCUCAAAAUGAGGCCUGUUUAAAUUCGAGCUCGAGCCCGAGCAGCUCAUGAGCCCAAAUGAGCUCGUGACUUAACGCAACCAAAUGAGCUUGGAAUUCGACAGUCGAGAUCAUUUGGAAAUCCUGCAUCCAACGGGCCAAGGCCCUCCUCUCCAGCUCUCCUAGUCUCCUAAACGGCUAAACCUCCUCUCUAGCUCUUAGUCUCCUACUUGGUACAAUUUGUAAAAUAUUAAUAUCAAUUUGGCCAAUAGUUUAAGUUUUUAUGCUGUCAGCAAAUAACAAAUGCUAAACCUCCUCUCCUAAAAGGGAACCUCGGGUAGGAGCUAAUCGCUGCCGCGUCUAGCCCGGUGGGUGCGGAGCCCCGACUGCCCUCCUCGCCAUUGUUGUCCUCGUCGUCCUCCUCCUCCUCUGCGACGAAGAUUAUGCCGGGCAGCACGACGCCGUUGGAGUUGCCGCCGGCGCCGCCACCGUUAGGAUUAGGAUUCGUGCUUCGGGCGCGGGCGCGGCAGCGGACGUAGGAGGCGAGGAGGACGGUGGAGAGGAGGACAAGGACGCCGAGGGCGGCGGCGAUGGCAUAGCCGAGGCCGAGGUUACUGAGGUUCUGGAGGAAGAAGGAGGAUGAGGAGGUCGGAGGGGAGGCGUGGCGUUGUCAUCGGCGGUGGCGGCGGCGGAGGAGGGGGAGAAGGACAUUUUGGGAAGAGGAGGGGGAGAAGAAGGGGGUUUUGUAGCAUGACAGAGAGAAGCGUGGGCGAAACAGCGGAAUUUUUUUUUGUGGGAGAAGCAUGACUCAUCACGUCAUUGAUGCUCCUUCUCUCUUUCCCCCUUGAGUGAAAGCCAACGGCAGAUCGAUGAGUUCGCUUAUGAAUUUUGAGGAUUCAUAUGGGAGCCCGAGCCCGGGCUUGGGCCCGAGCCUGAGGCCGACUGAGCUCGGGCUUGAGCUCGUAAUUGAAACGGGCUUUACGAGCUCAAGCCCGAGCCUUUGCUUCACCAAGCAAGCCCGAGCUCGAGCCCAAUACAGAGCUCAGUACCGAGCCUGAGCCCAAGCCUGAGCCCGAACCCAAGCUUCUUGUAAUAACCCCAAAAUUUUUUUUUUAUAAAAAGGGAUAGAAUAGUCCUUUAAAAUUGAUAUAAGGGGUAAAAUUGGAAGGAAUCAAAAGAUAAUGGCAUAGUUGUNNNNNNNNNNNNNNNNNNNNNNNNNNNNNNNNNNNNNNNNNNNNNNNNNNNNNNNNNNNNNNNNNNNNNNNNNNNNNNNNNNNNNNNNNNNNNNNNNNNNNNNNNNNNNNNNNNNNNNNNNNNNNNNNNNNNNNNNNNNNNNNNNNNNNNNNNNNNNNNNNNNNNNNNNNNNNNNNNNNNNNNNNNNNNNNNNNNNNNNNNNNNNNNNNNNNNNNNNNNNNNNNNNNNNNNNNNNNNNNNNNNNNNNNNNNNNNNNNNNNNNNNNNNNNNNNNNNNNNNNNNNNNNNNNNNNNNNNNNNNNNNNNNNNNNNNNNNNNNNNNNNNNNNNNNNNNNNNNNNNNNNNNNNNNNNNNNNNNNNNNNNNNNNNNNNNNNNNNNNNNNNNNNNNNNNNNNNNNNNNNNNNNNNNNNNNNNNNNNNNNNNNNNNNNNNNNNNNNNNNNNNNNNNNNNNNNNNNNNNNNNNNNNNNNNNNNNNNNNNNNNNNNNNNNNNNNNNNNNNNNNNNNNNNNNNNNNNNNNNNNNNNNNNNNNNNNNNNNNNNNNNNNNNNNNNNNNNNNNNNNNNNNNNNNNNNNNNNNNNNNNNNNNNNNNNNNNNNNNNNNNNNNNNNNNNNNNNNNNNNNNNNNNNNNNNNNNNNNNNNNNNNNNNNNNNNNNNNNNNNNNNNNNNNNNNNNNNNNNNNNNNNNNNNNNNNNNNNNNNNNNNNNNNNNNNNNNNNNNNNNNNNNNNNNNNNNNNNNNNNNNNNNNNNNNNNNNNNNNNNNNNNNNNNNNNNNNNNNNNNNNNNNNNNNNNNNNNNNNNNNNNNNNNNNNNNNNNNNNNNNNNNNNNNNNNNNNNNNNNNNNNNNNNNNNNNNNNNNNNNNNNNNNNNNNNNNNNNNNNNNNNNNNNNNNNNNNNNNNNNNNNNNNNNNNNNNNNNNNNNNNNNNNNNNNNNNNNNNNNNNNNNNNNNNNNNNNNNNNNNNNNNNNNNNNNNNNNNNNNNNNNNNNNNNNNNNNNNNNNNNNNNNNNNNNNNNNNNNNNNNNNNNNNNNNNNNNNNNNNNNNNNNNNNNNNNNNNNNNNNNNNNNNNNNNNNNNNNNNNNNNNNNNNNNNNNNNNNNNNNNNNNNCUCACUUCUUGAAGAGGGUAGCGGAAGUAUAAGGAAAAAAAGCAAGAAUAAAAUUCUUCGCGAGGCUAUCAAGGAUUCCAAACCUGUGGUACUUGGGUGGUCGACAGUCGUACACCGGCAGCCUCUGCCGCUGCCUCCCCGAUUUUGAUCCAAGAAUCCUCCGAGCGUUACGGUUUUGAGGGUUUUGAUCGAAGGGGAAGAAGCCAUGGAGAAAAGGUGCGAACGUAGAGAUUGGAGAACCCAGGUUGGCUAUUUACAGGGUUAAGUCGGCCAGCCGAUUGCCGACAUACUGAGGCCGGGUUCAAGUUUGUGGACCGAUCUGAACCGGCUCCGGCCUGGCUUUUCGGGUCUACGUGAAAUCCGGAGUACCCGGUUAUAAUGUCAGUGUAACCGGUUAAGAUUCGCUGUAGAGAAGGGACAGCAGAGAGGAAACUAGGCCCUGUUUGGUCUCCAAAUGAGUUUAUGCGGCUUUUUAAAUAAUUCUAUUUUUUCUUGAAAAUUAUUUAUAAUUAAUGAGAUAAAACUAUUUGAUCCCCCUGCUUUAACCCACCAAUUUUGAACCCAGGCUCAGCCUGAUUGCAGAAGACUAGAACCCAGCUGAAGGCAAUUUGGUCGAAACAUAAUAAUCUUCCUAGAUUGGUUUACUCUAAUUAAUAUCUUGUGUGGCUGAUUUAGAGACCAAUCUAGCAUGACAACUAAUAAUGUUCUUAGGAUUUAGGAAAUAGUUGAUAACUUCAGUUGAAUCAAAAUUUAAAUUUGAAAUACUUACCAUAUAUGAUUUGCAAAAAAUAUGGCUUUCUAUGUAAAUGAGUCCAGUUACAUUUUGUUUUCUUUUUUCAUCAAUAGGGUCCAGUUAGAAAGGCUACAGAGUGGGACUACAGAAGCUUGUUUCUAUAAUACUAGCAGGCGAGGAAUAAGAGAGAAUAAAAAUUAAAUAAAUCAAAUGACUUCUCCCUCAAUUGCUGCUCCAGUUUUGUGCUACAUAUAGGAGUCAAAGUUUAAAGCCUUGUCAUGGCUUAGCUAUCUGAUAAUGCAAAAAGCUUAAUGCCUUAAGAAGGUAAUAUUUUUCUCCUUUUCCAAGAGCCAGUUUCAGGCUUGUUUAGAUGAGUUUCUGCUUACAUGGUUAAUGUGUACCUGCUAGAGAUUGGAGACUAACUUGAAUUUGAUGUGAAAUGGAUGGACUCUCAUCUUCACCUACACAUCUUGCCUCACCUCAUUUUCCAGCCUUGAAGAAAAUGACCCAGGGAAAUCNNNNNNNNNNNNNNNNNNNNNNNNNNNNNNNNNNNNNNNNNNNNNNNNNNNNNNNNNNNNNNNNNNNNNNNNNNNNNNNNNNNNNNNNNNNNNNNNNNNNNNNNNNNNNNNNNNNNNNNNNNNNNNNNNNNNNNNNNNNNNNNNNNNNNNNNNNNNNNNNNNNNNNNNNNNNNNNNNNNNNNNNNNNNNNNNNNNNNNNNNNGCCCCAGGGAAAUCUUGUUCUCGAAUUGACUAUUGUUAUUCUACUCAAGUAGUUUCCUCAUUGAAUGACUUCAUUAAACUUAGAAUAAGAUGAUCUUGAUCUGAAAAUGUUAAACCCCCUCCAAAAAAAAUCUCAUUUUUGUAGUUUUUCCUUCCUAAAUGCUUAUAAAGUACUAUCACUUGAUCUCCUGAAUGAAAUUUGGGCUCCAACCCUAUUUGUAGUUUUUCAUUUUGCUUGAUUCGGAAUUGAGACCGUUGAUUCAUGAUUCACAAUUCACACCUUUUGACUGAACUAACUUGAUAGUGCUAAGGUUGAGAAUUGGUUGACCAUCACGUAUUAACACGAUACAGUCAUGUUAAGAUUUGUGGAGAUUUAGCAGAUAGAUAUUUGCUUGAAGCCAUACAUUAAACAAUUACUGGGGAGAGAAUACAAUAAGAUAAAUGAAAUAGUCUUUUUCUGCAAAUUUGCAUGUCAUAUAUGAGUUAUGAAUUGUGGAUUCUUGCAAAAUGGAUUUUUAUCUUUUCACAUGUGGAGAUAAUUAUCUUUGAAUGGACUAGGCAAUAUUAUUCGACGGAUGCAGCUUUGCUUACUACUGAUCUCAAAUAUUAUGGAGAAUGCAUGCCCACUCGCCCUAAGGCAAUAUCAAAUGGAGUAUUUCAAAGGGACAACCCACUCAUUUUUGCUCUCCCCCUCGCUAUCUACCAAAUAUCUUUCUUGAAAUAUAGCAUAGAUUAUUUUAAACACCUCUCUCUGUUCCUCUCCAAACAACUCUUUAAAGUAACUCAUAUGGCAACUCACAAAACCCUAAACCCUAAACCGCAACAACUCCAAAAACCCUAAAUCUUAAAAAUCUAAACUCUAAACCCUACAUGGCUACAUCCAAGCCUUCCAUAGGUAAUCUCAUUUUGGUAGAUUAAACUGAAGGUGCAGCAGCACCGGAUCCGAUGACUGAAAGAAGCGAGUGCACCGAACGAGGACCAUUAGGAGUCUUAACGUCCCCAAGCUUUUCUACUCCAGCCUCACUCAUAGUUGUGAGACCAAACACAGGCCAAAAAUUGAACUCAAACCAGUUGCACUGUUUCCAACCAACUUUCAAAUUUUAUUUAUAAAUAUUAUUUUCUUGGAGUUCUCAUAAGAUCUGUUCAGAUAUCUAAAUAAUUAGCAAUUACAAGAUUGACUGAGAAACCAGACAGGAUUGAUAUGAGUAUCGAAGUUAUUGCAUGGCCUGAAUGAGCAAUUUUUAGUAACACAUGAUCCAUGAACGCUGGAAAUAUUCAUGGCUGUGUCAUAGACAUCCACAAGCAUUGUCCCAUUAGCAGCAGCAACUAAAACAUCCAAUAAACCACCUACCGUUACAAACAUAUCCUCAAAUCAGCAAUUUCCUCAAUUUAAACCUAAUUUAUAGUUAUAACCAGGAUUAUCCAUAUACCCUGCUGCCACAUUACAAACUUACGAGCCCGGAAUAUAUUUAUGCUAUCAACUCAAAAAAUAAUCAUUUGCUAUGUAGAAAUAGAAGUUAAUAUGAUACUUUAGAUAAUGCAGGUAUUAGGCAUCACGAAACCUAGAACUAGAACCCACUUUUAGAGCAAAAAGAUAACCACAUUCCUUGGCAAAUCACUAACUUCAGUUAAGAAUUGGCUUCCCUGUGACAUUAAUCUAAUUGCAAAUUCCAAGUUCAGCAAACUUGCUUUUUCGUCAGAUCUCAUGUUACAUGCAAAAUUAGUGGAAAAGGUCACCUUUACUCCAAAUAGGAACCUGCGAACUUGAAAUGCAGAAAGGAAACUACUAGUACAAAGAGACUCCUGCAUCGUAACUCUUUUGUUUCUCAAAAUAAAGGGAUACACGAAGCAUAUUCCACAGGACAAGCAUAGUUGCAACUUAUAACUCCAGCAAGCUAAGUUCGUUUGUUCAGAUCUCACAUUACAUGCAAAAUUAGCUAAAGUGAUCAGUUUGAUUCCAAGUAGUCGUAAUGUACAUAUCCAAAAUGCCAAAAAGAAAAAGAUAAAGACCUCUACAUUGAAACAGUUUCAUCUCUUGCCAUAUAGAUACGCAUAGCACACGCAUACUCGUACAUAGUUACAACCUUCUCGGUCAUUCUCCACAUGGAUUUUUAGCAUGCAACUUUACGGGGAGAAGACUUGCCUGGUUUGUGUCGUCUAACCUUCACCCUCUUCUUCUGUGUCAACUUCUUCUCCAAGUCCUUGACUCUCCCAUUAAGAUCAGAAAUAACCCCUAACUGCACUUUUCCUGCAAGAAGCAACUUUUCUAACAUCUCCCUUAGCUUCUCAUUUUCUUCCAUCAGCUGCUUCUCCUCCAUGCUCAUAUUGGUACUUGAAAUUGGUCCAGCCAUUGGAAUGGAAUCUUUAGGUUGAACCACAGCAAUUCCCUCUUCUUUUGGAGCUGGAGUGCUUGCUUCAUCAGGAGCUGCUUCUACAAGAGACAUAUGAGAGGACUCUCUAUGGAGAAUUUGCUCAAGGGAUGAAGUUGUAUCCUUAUCCAUAGUCGCUUCCUGUAGAGUUUCAGGUGCUGAAGGCAUGUCUGUAUCUUCAAGGACCUUAUUAGCAGCAGCCAGUUUAGUUCCAUUCUCCAUGCCAGACUCAGAAGAUCUAACUUGUACUGCAAUUUGGUCCUCUGGCAUCUCUAGGUUCUUUUCUACCACGCUGCGAACAUCGUUACCCUCUUCAGAAGCCAGCGUAACAGGUCUUGCACACGUAGCUUCCAUGUUUAUAGUAUCAGCAGCUGCAUCUCCUAUUGCCUUCUCUGCGAAACAAUUUUCCUCUUCCGCUAGCAACAUGUGAGGCUCCUCCUCUUUGGUUUCAGCUUGACUGAACCGAGCACCAGGUGCCUUGGCAAAAUUAGAUUCACUGACUCCUGGUAUAGUUUCCAGAAAAUCUACUGCAUUGGUGACAUGCAAAGUGCUCGGAACUUCCACACUCUUGCUGUCAGCAGUCGCAUCUCCUGCUGUCUUCUCCUUAGAAUCACUUUCUUCUGCCAAUGGCAACAUUUGGAGCUCUUCCUGUUUUCUGUCGGCUUCACUGAUAGCAUCCUUACCCUCAAAAUUAGAUUCAGCCAUUCCUGGUAGAGGUUCUACGAACUCUACUGCAUUAGAAACAGCUUCAUGCUCUUCAACUUUGAUUUCACCGGCUCCCCCAAGGUUGCACCCCUUCAACGAUGGUACCAAACUGUUCUCCACUUCUAGAUUCACCUGUGUGUUUGGUCGAGCACCAUAAUCACAAAACUCUUUGUUCGCUGACUCAAACUCUCGACAGCUAAGCCCUUGCAUCUCUAGAUGCUCCUCCAAAUCCAACUUGGGAGCUUCAUCUUUGGCAGAAGGUACCUCCUGAACUUUCUUGAUAGUGGAUACCAAGGGCACCAAAGGUUCCUCUAACUCAAGGGAAGGCUCUUCACUGAGCAGUUUUGACCCUACCAAUGCCCCACCUUCAGAAACAGUUUGUUCCUCUCCCCGCAAAGGUGCUUCUUCAUGCUCCCCAUUCGCAACAGAAACCAUUUCUUCGUUCAACAAAUGUGCAGCCUCUCCUGGUGCAGCCUCUACCUCUUGAUUUUCUAGUGCAUCUCUUUUGUCCUCUUCCUCAGCCUCUUGCAUUUCUUCACUAGAUGUGAAAUCUGAGGUACACUUCUUAUCAGAUAGUUGUUCACAAACAUGCUCGGCCGAUGGUUCAGCCACUGCAACCGAUCUUCCAAGACAAGUGUGAUCAUCAGAAGCUUUGCUGCUAGCACUUUCUUCAAUCUUAGCUGACUCAUGAUCUGCAGUAGUUUGUCUGCUUAGAGAAUCAAGCUUCUCUUGCAGGCAAAUGAGCUCCCUUGCAACAGAUUUCCUGGCCUCCCUCACACUUUGGUGCAAGCCCUGGUAAGUUCAUGUCAACUCGGAAUUAAGACUCAAACCAUUUCCAAAACGUGAGAGAAAAAGAGAUUCAUAUUGUAGAGAAGUGCUGGUGAUGCAAGCAUAAAUAGCAAAUGCAACUAAAUGACCAACAUUAUUGAACCUCUUUUCUCACUCAAACAAAGAUUGUUUUAAUAAGAUUAUGAUCAAUUGCAACAGAAUUAACAAAAAAAAUGUUUAAAGCCCGUACCUGGAUUGUAUCCAGCUGCAAAAGCAGAUUCAUUAUAGUCUCACCGAUAACCACCUUCUGCUUCACAUCUUGUCCCUCUGAAGAGGUUUCAAAACUUUGAAUUUGUUUUUUAAUAUCUUCCACCUGUUGACGAAUUCGAGCUACCUUGCGAAGUUUCUCCAAAGGUUGCCAUCUUCUCACUUCAAACCCUCGAUAUGCAGACUGAAUAAGAACUGCUGCAUCUGAUUCUGCUAAGUUCUUUCUUUCCUUCCUGACCUCUGUCUUUGUAAUUUCUGCAUCCUCCAUGCCUCUGCUUUCCUCAAUCUUUUUCUCCUGGUCAUCAGAUAACCCACCCUCAGAGUCGUUCGCUUCUACUCCCUUAGCAUUCUCUGUAACAGCUUUCCCUGGAGCACCUUUCAUUGAAAUGAUUGGCACUGAAUCUUGGCUACUCCACGCCUCCUUCCCCACUUUGUUUGAUGUCUUCUCCUUAACAUCAACAAUCCGGAUUUCUUUCUUAGGAAUUUCCUCUUUGGCCUCCUUCCAAGUUGAGCCAUGUUCUUUAUUGUCCUGACGAGUUCUCUCUUUCUCAAUAAGGCCAGGUGGGCUAGGAGAUCGGGAUGCGCUGUUUCCAUUCUUCCUUCUUGGCAAUGGGUCCACUCUUAAACAUACAGGAGUCAACUUUGACGACUUGACAGGUGAUGAUUGUUUGCCAUCCAAAGACUUCUUCACUCCACAGUCUUCAUUUUGUUUUUCAGAGAUGAUGGACUUCUUUUCGUCACUCUUUUCAUUUUGCUUCUCGUUCCUCAUCUGACUGCUUGCUUCCAUCUGCUUAACUGGAAUGGUUUUAGUUUUGGCUUCCUUUUCACUUACUGCUUCUUGCUGUGCUCGAGUUUUAGGCUCAUCCUCUGCUACUCCUGCUUUCUCCUCCCUGUUCCCAUUCUCCAGAAAUUUCAGUGGGAUAAUCUUAAAUUUUGGUGUUUCUUCUGAAACUUUUGGACCGUUGUUGAUCUCCUUCAAAUCUUUUACAGCCUCCUCCGGUUUAUUAUAACCAGGCAUCCACAUAAUUGGCCAUGGAAACUGACUCCUCCUCUCUUCAUUCUGCGAGCCCUUCUUGUCAUCUCCAUUCUGCAUCAGACCCAUGCGGCUGUUAAUGUCCAGAGGGAUCCAUCCAUUCCAAAUUCCAGGCUGUGCCUCAGAAUUUUUGUCGGUGUCUUUCUCCUUCAAAUAAUUAUGAGGAGCCCAUGCUGGUGGAUAAAAAGGGUAGUUUGGCAAUUUAACCAGAUUGGAGGAGUCACCCUCCUUCGGCUUUGGCUCUAGAUCUGGCUUUUGUUCUUCAAUCUUCACACUAGUAGUCUCGCCCCCGCACUUAUGAUUUGGACACCCGCAGCAGUGAUUUUUAGCCUCCUCAUAAUCAUAUCGAGCUUGAUCAAAUGAAUAAUGAGGUGGUGGCAUGAAAUAGGGCGGGCAGGCAUCAGGAUAAGCUAGAUACGGUCCACUGUAGUAACAAUGAGGAGGUGGCUGAAUAUGAGGGUAUAGAGGUCUGAAACUACAAUGUCCUGGAGAGUAAAUAUGGUUGCAACAGCUAUGGCAUUCGGUUGGAUUUGGGUGGCUGGUGCUGCCAUUGUAAGGCCAUGGUCCAAAAGGUGAGGGAGGUUUUGAUGAAUCUACUCUCAUCUGAGGAGGUACAGCUUCCCAGUUUGGAUAGUAGUGAUAAGGAUAGGGAAUGCGGUGAGGAAAAUUCUGAGGGUACGGGUCCAUGUAUCUGCAAGCAGGAAACAUUUUUCCGAGAGCUACGAUAAAACUUUAACCCAAUAGGGCAGGUUCUAUGGCAGUGAGAACCUGCGGAGAUUUCUCCCUAUCUCACGGGUUAGGGACGAGAGAUCGAUCGAUAGAAUCGUCAAUUCUGCAGGAACAAGCGCAUAAAAAACAAUGAAGUAUUAGAAGCAAUACAAGAGUGCAAAAGUGAGACCUGCUAAGCAGACAGCCAACAGCAACUGAACAUUCUCUGCAGGACAGGAAUCUCAUCAAACAAAGUGAUGGAAACAAAACAAAAUAAGCAAAUUUAAAUAUUUUUUAGACUAUGUAACCAAACAUCUUCAAUUACAUCAAUUAAAGUGGAGAGUCCAUUGACGUCUUGCAAAACAGAAGGAACAGAGAUGGAAACAGACAGACAAAUCGACACAAACCUCCCUGGAAUUUUGAUAAAAUGAACAUUAAAUGGUGCUCUUCACAAGGUACGGUCUCAUACGAUGAAACCUUAGUUCAGAUGGUACUGCCUCUUGCCCUCUAAUUACGGGUAAAAGGUGAGGGUCCUGACCGUUCUAGAGAUAAAAUGGAUGGUAUCUUGAAUUAUACCUCAGAAUUUAAAACAAAUGGGUGAUCUCACUUUAAUUAAGUAAUCAUAAGGCAUUAGAUUUAUGGCGCUGAGUUCAAUGGUCGCAUAACUCGUAAGGGCCCUAGUUAAGUCCCCAGUUAAGAACAACUUCGGUAAGAGGAUCGAAGACAAUCUCGAGUUUGGUUUCUUCUUUCAUGAUGUUCAAUUGGGUAUCGGUCGAUAAAAUGAUCCUAGCGACCUAUUUCAUUUGUUGCAGAUUUUGUUUGAAUUGGAGCGGCAUAUACCUCAAUGGAUCAAUCGAAUUUUAUCUGUUGCAAAGUUGCCCAAGAUAACAUUUUUAUGAGAGGAAGAUGCCAAAAUAAAAAAAAAAAACAGAAAUCACUUAGUCUCGACGUGUCGAGACAAAUUCAACAGCACAAAAAGUUACCAUUUUCUCCGUUCAUGAACCAAAUCAAGAAAAUAACUCCAGAAAACUAAAUUCCGAGCCACACUACUCAACUCAAAGAUGAAAGGGGACAAAUGCAACUAAGAGCGAUGCGAGAAAGGGAAUGGGAGAAAGGACUUACAGAUGAGGCGGAUGUUUGAUUGUUUUUGUAACCUUCCAAGCGAUCCCACGAACCAAAUGACUUAGUUACCGGUGCGACGCGGUCCGCAAACCCUUUUGCUUUCUCUUUUUGCUUCUUCUCUACCUUCUCUCUUGACGCCUUGGAGCUUCGCGAUCUUCUCCGACGGGAAACGAGCAGGCUUCUCCCCCUCUAUUUAUUUCCAAGUUCCCGAGACCCUUCGCGCAUUCCAGAGCUUUCUCGACGUGGACGCUGGAGAAUGUUCGGCUCCGUUCUCCAGCUUUCUCGGGCCCUCUGGUCCGCCACGCGUAAAUAUCUGAUUUAUUGGCAAUCUAUUCUUAACAAAAUAUCAUAAAUCAUAAAAGUCUUCAAUAAAUUAUAAAAAAUUAUCAAAGAUGUAUAUUAUUAUAUUUAUUUAUGAAAUUUAUAUUUACAUCUAAUUAAAUAAAUAAUGUUAGUGAAAUUGUUUGUCUAAUUUGGAAAAUCGAAAUCGCUCGUAUUUUGUUAUAUCCUCUUGUCAUUUAAAAUUGUUAUAAUUAUUUUUAAAAAUUUUCUGUCUCUUAUUAUCUUUAUUAAUUGUAAAACUUUUUUUCUGAUUCCAAAUGCACUAAUGUUCUGCUAAAUCAUCAAUUAAAAUAUUAAAUAAAAAUACAUCUCAAACAUAUAAAUAUAGUUUUUUUUGAAUUAUUUGGUGUAAAUAUAAUUUAAUUCUAAUUUUUUAAAAAAUUAUUUAUUUUAUUUUAAAAAAAAUUAAUAUACUCUUUCGAACAUGCGGUCAGAUUGAUGCUCACGUCUUGUUUCUCACGGAUGGGAUAGGCUUGGGUUGCAAUUUUACAGAAAUAAAAGCAAGAUUUUUUUUCUUAUAUACCUUCUAAAUAUAUAAAAUUAUAUAAAUACUUUCGUAAGAUUACUAUUUAUAGAUUUCAUAUAUAUAUAUAUAUAUAUUUUUACAAUAAGNNNNNNNNNNNNNNNNNNNNNNNNNNNNNNNNNNNNNNNNNNNNNNNNNNNNNNNNGCGAUUAGGGCGGGGACGAUUAGAGGGUUUAGCAGAAUGCAUACCUUCCAUGUAAAUGAUCAUAGGAUAGUAGUCUGAGGUGGUACGAGGGAUGUUUCCAACCACAGCUUAUGGUAAAAUCUCUUUCAACUUCUAUAUACACACACCCAUAUCAUUUAACGUCAUUAAAAAAUAAAUGGCUUAGAAUUAAAAUGACUAAAAUAUCCUUAUGAGUAGAUGUUAAAAAAAAAAUAUAAGGUUAUAUACGCAAUAGCAACUUUACAAGAGUAUUCAUGCAAUUUUUUAUAUUUAGAAGGGUAUAUAUUCAAAAAAUCUAUUUAAAAAAAUCAAUAAUCGGUGAAAAGUUGCUAAGUCUUUUAUGAUUCGGUUAGAUUAACAAGUCAAAAAAAGAUUGAAUCACAUUGUUAAUUUUCUUUUUUAAGAUCUUAGACUCAAUCAAGUUGAAAUAUUAGGUGAUUAUUUUGGUAAUGUUAUUCUUCAUUUAAUGUUGAUAUAAUUAUCAUUAUGGAAUUUAUGACAUCAAUAUAUUCAUCAUUAUUUUUAAAAGAUUAAAGUAUAUCGAAUUUAAAUUAAUUAUAGAUGAUUAAAUUAGUAUAAUAUUUUUUAGCGAUUGUAAAUGCUGAGUUGUUGUUUAUUUUUUAGGCAAGAAUUUUAUAAAAGUGACAUAAUUUAUUCUAUAGAAGUUGAUAUUAACAUGAUUUAAUCCUUUUUGUUAUAUUUUUUUAUUAAUGGUUAUUUUUACUGAAUUUUGAUUAUUUUUUAUUAGAUUUUUUUAAAAUGUAUAUCCUCCUAAAUAUGUGUAAUUGCAUGAAUACCUCCAUAAAGUUGCUAUUUGCAUAUCUAUCCAUAUCAAAUUUUCUUUUUGCAUGUAUACCCUUAAGAGUAUUUCAGUUAUUUUAAUUUUAAAUUGUUUAUUUUUUAACGACGUUAGAUGGUAUGAGUACAUAUAUAAAAAAGAGAGUAAAAAAAAAAUAUACAUACAAAAUAAGUAUUUUAUGAAAAUAUAUAUGUAAAUAGUAAGAGAGUAUAUAUGCAAAAAAAAAAAUUCUAAAAGCAAUUGCUGAUGGCUAAUAGAGUAAACAUGUCGACAAAGUCACACUUAAAUGCACUUUUGGUAAGUUAAGAUCCGCUUAAUACAACACCUAUCCCUUCUACUCUUUUUUUUUCCCAUUCUUUUUCCUCUUGAAAAGAAUCCCCUCUAGUCAUUUGCAAACACAGUGCGCAACAGAUGGGCUUGGUCAGAUUAAGACUAUUAGGCUGCCCAAAACCAGGCCCAAAACCCAACUCAGGCGAAGCAAGCUAGAUUCGGCCAACUGAAACAUCGAAUGAUCCAAUUUUUCUACUAGACUGACGACGUAUCAUAAAUUUUUCUCAAAGUUGUAUCUAAAUCUUAUUUGUUUUUUUCUCUCUUUUUAAGAAAACAGGCGACUAUAGAAAUCUUAUUGGUUUGCCCUAAUUUAUUUAUUUAUUUAGUCUUUCACAACAACUACACGUAUCUUUUCUCUUCGAGCUCGAGCUUAGUCCAACCUUUUAUUCGCCUGGCACGUCCAUUUAAGUUGUAUCUGGGCUCAAAGAUGGGCUGUGUCAGCCCAAUGGCCAUCACCAUCUCCGUAUUUUGGGAACCAGUAUUCCUUGCCCGGUUUAACAACGAAUUAAUUCUCAUAUAAGCGUAAAAAAGACAAAGUCGACUGCCCUUUUAUCCACAACUGAUGGAGUCUCAGGGCUUCAUCUUGUACAUAGUUUACAUUUUUUUUGUUGUUUCUGUGUUUUCCAUCCAAAGCCAUGUUUAGGCUUGAAUUUUUAGUCAAGUCGUGUACUAGGACUGCUAAGCAAAAAAGAUCCACCUAUGUGUGAUAGAAAGCCUAACCCAACUCCAAACUACCACACUUAAUUGCUUAGCCUUGACAUUUCUUCAAUGCCCACGGCCAUCACUCAUCUCUAGGAACAGAGGAGGAUAGAUGAUAGUCUUGGAAAUAGAAUUGUGCAUGUUGAAUGUAUGGAAUAAGUGGGAAGGAAGUUAGAAAAGAGAAAAAAAAAUAUACAACAUAAAUAUGCAAAAUUAUGCAGAAAUCUGUAGAAAACAACAUAGAGAAGACAAGAAAAAAAAUAUUGUUCAUAUGAAUAGUAACCCGACCUGUUCACAAAAUAGUAAUCCAACCCGUUAUUGUUCACGGAACAGUAACCUGAUCCAUUACUGUUCACGGGACAAUAACCCGACCCAUUACUGUUCACGAGACAGUAAUAGGCGGUUAGAGGAAAGAUAUGGGCUAUUGGAAAAGUUGUUGGAUAAAGAUUAGUGGAAAAAUUAUAAAAAUCGUUUUGGAGAAUUUUAGGAAGAUUGUUCAGCUGUUUUGGGCUAUAAAAAGAGGGGACAACAACCAUUAAAAAAAGAGAAGAAAACCUAAAAGGUGAGUGCCAUCGUGGGCGAAGCCUUGAGAAAUCAUCUUUCUUCUACUUUCAUCCAGCUUCUUAACUUAUUUCUUCAUAAAGCCAUCUUUUCGACCCCGUCAUCCUUCGUCUCGAUGCCUUGGUGGAAUGUAGCCUAAAGAUUCUCAUUGAAUUGAAGGGACUAAACUCGCAUAAAUAAUUAUCCGACUAGUUCUAUCGUCAUCUUUUACCCAACCCUCUUUUCUUCAUCCAUCAAUCAUUAUCUCCACCUAUUAUCAUUACCAUCGUUGCCAUCUAUCACAUUCUUGGAAUCCAAAUUUACUGGCUGUAUCUUUUUAUUGUUCGGUUGCAGUUAUUUUCAGUUUGCUUCAUUAGUUAUACUUUGUUGAUUAGGCUUGAUAUCUAACAUGUUCUAUUUUGUGUUCAUAUAUUUCUAUGAUGAUCUUUUGAAAUAAUGAGCAUAGUGCCUAAUCAACCGCACCAUAAUUAACUAUUAUAAAAUCAAUCUACAUAUGUAAUGGUUGAUUAUAUGUUGCACCAACAACAAGAGGGAAAGGCCAUCAUAGAGAGUACUUCAACGUUCAAUAUUCCGCCCAUCAUGCAACUGCAAUAAAAUGUAGAAUAGCAAUAGACAAUAUUUUGGCCUUAAAAAUGGUCAAAAUUUUCUUUAUUAUUGUAAAGGAAAACUAGCAUGGUGGCUUUUUGGGUGCAUCAGCUUCAAAAAUAUUCAGAUUCAAAAUUCAUAACUUCGUCAUCAGCAGGAUAAUCUCUGGACCGUCCAGGUGGCAAACAAUGCUAUUCUCUUGGUUUGUGCAAAAGGAACCUUUGUAACUAGAGAAAUUCGACACCUAAUUGUAUUCAUCCUUCUCUCCAAUGUUGUAUAGCUAAAGAAAUAAAUGAACUAAAUAGAGGAAGGUUUUAAAGAAGAGAAUAAAAUGUCAAGAGCCAGAGCUAUCUUUAUAUAUAUAUAUAUAUGGGGUCAGAGAGCUAUCUAUUUUAAACAAGUGAUUACAUUAACAUCAAACAUCUUUUAAGAGAAGAGAUACGUAACCAUCUUACUCAUAAGACCAUUUUAAACAAAAAAUAAUAAUAAUAAUUACAACUUAUAGUAGAUUACAUCAUGAAGAGACCUGUACAAUUGAAAGAUAAAUAUUUUCCAAUUAAAAACAGAUAAAUAUUAUUUACCUUCAGGUCUUUGUUGGAAAAAUAUUAUACAAGUCGUUUAGGUUAACCACCACCCCUGCGGCGCAUGAAUCUCGAUCUCCAAAAGCUUGCAUUUUGUUCAUAAGGGUGAUACAUGUACCGAUAUUUUGACAGAAUGAAACCAAUGUACAAGCACCAUACAGAAUAUUCGCGCUAUAAGAAAAAAUUGUAAACUAGUAGAGCAGACCUGCAUUCCGUUGGAGUGCCCAUGCUGCUGCAGAAAGCGAUAGCCAUCUCAUCAUGCAGCCAGAAAACUGCACUGCAAAGGAUAUGAAGUUCCGAUAUCUCCUUGCUCCUGAAAGGCCUGAUGCUAAAUCCCUGUGCUGUGGAAGAUUCAACAAUAUUUUGGUGAUAAGCUAGUUUACAUGUUAAAAAAUUACAGUUACAAAAUAUAUCGCAUCAAAGAUACAAUCACACAUAAAGAGGUAGCAAUUUCAUUAGUCUAGCAUGUUUCAACAUGAAGCACCGAACAGUUGAUUAUGUAUUCACAGGACUCCAUAUCGACAAUUUGUUAAGAAUAAAACUAUUGAACCAAACACUAGUGCCUAAAACACUAAAUUUGCUGACUAAACACCUUAUGAGUUUAGUCCAAACCCUUUUUUCCCCCUUAUUAUCUCUAAAAGGGGAAUCAACCGAAUUACAUACAAGUCCUAGCCACCAAUGAACGAGAAAAGCUUGAUUUUUCUUAUUUCCACACAUGGAGUCGCUAAAAAAAGAAAAACCUGAGCACCACAGCAGAGCAUACUGUGCCAGAACCAAAUCAAACAGCACGGCAAUGGGAACAGACAGGUCUCACUGCUUUGUCCUUACAACCAGUUGGGAGCAAAAGUAUGUGGUACACCCUGCUCAGAAUUAACACUCUCGACUUGGCUUCCAGAGUGGCUCCCAAGACCUGCAUCACUAGUUAGCAUUGCCAUUAAACUCCCACCAUGCACUCUACCUUCUGGAAGAGAAACUACAGGAUGCAUUGCUGACUUCUGAUGCCCACUCCAACUCGAUUGACUUUGCCUGCCAGUUUCCAUAUUGGUGAACAUGUCUCGAUCAACAACCACCUCUUUCAUCUUCUCGGCUAUGUGGCCACCGUGAACACGAUGGUCUUCCACCUGGGCGGUGUGUGCAGCACAGAGCCCAAUUUUUCCCCUGGCAAAGCGAUCACAUGGGGGGCCACCAGCACCAAAAACUGAACCUGCUUGGCCCCAAGAGCAGCGCUUACCUCCCCCAUGUGCCUUGCAGAAAUCAGUGCUUCCCUGAGCGCUCUUCCCACAACCCUCAAACUUGCAUCGCUUCCCCCACCAUGACGAACACAGAAAUCAGUCCGCCCUCUAGCGCUCCUAGUGCACUCCGGUGCAGCACACCUCUUCCCCCCACCAUGGGCAACACAGAACUCAGUUCCACCAUGCACACUCUUUGAACAACCACCUGGGAAUGCACAACGCUUCCCUCCACCAUGCCCCUUACAGAAGGGUGUGCUUCCUUCAGCUCCCUUGGUGCAGCCUGGAAAUGUGCACCUCUUACCUCCACCAUGUGCCUUGCAAAACAUCGUGCUGCCCUGUGCGCCCUUAGUGCAUUGUGGAUAUUGGCAGCGACGGCCACCCCCAUGGGAGAUGCAUAGACCAGAAUGACCUUCUGCACUCUUGAUGCAAUUCUCCCUCUGGCACCUCUUGCCACCACCAUGCCUGAUGCAUAGACCAGAUUUUCCCCUUGCAGCUCGAGUACAGCCAUCAUUGCUGCAACGACGACCACCACCAUGAGCAAUGCAGUAAUCAGUCCGGCCCUCAGCACUCUUUGUGCAGCCAAGGUAUUCGCAUCGGCGGCCACCUCCAUGGGCUUUGCAGUAGAUCGUCCUGCCCUCAGCUCCCUUGUGGCAACCAGGUCUCUGGCACCUGCGCCCACCACCAUGGGCUAUGCAUAGCCCAGAAGCACCUCUGGCUCCUUUUCCACAUCCCUGGAACUGGCAGUAUUUUGUAUUGAUGCUGCGCUGCUGUGGAUGGGUGAUCCCAGAAGUAGAGGCAACUGGCUUGUUCAGCAUCUGCUCCCAGUUAGAUGACAGAUCUGGUGCUGGAACUGAAGCAGAUAUCCAAGGAAUCAUUUGGUUAGAAACAACUACAGCAGUUUUCUCGGAGGCAUAUGGGUACGGCAAUAAAUUACUCCCACGUUUCCAUCGAGACGAUGUCGAUCCUUCAUCAACAGCUGGUGUUGAACCAACCAUUACUGAUGAGUCCAAGAUAUCCUGAUGUUGGGCUGAAUCUGGACUGAGACUAGUAACAACAGAUUGAGAUGGCCCCACUGAAAGACUUAACUGAAGGUCAAACUUAGGCUCCUUCCGAGUAGCGACAGCAGGUUUCUUGGGGAUCAGUGCAUUUUCAUUGCCAAGAUUAAGACGAAAACUUAGGCCCAAAUCCAUGGAAGAUUCAUCAUCAGUUUCUUUGGGCGAAGCCAUUGUACAAGCAGUUGUGGAGCUCCUCUUGCUGCUAUCUGAGGAACUUGUUGAACACCCUAAACCUAGUGCCAGUGAAGCAUUCUUCAGACCUUGAGUUCCAUCAAUAUCAUCCCACUUCCUCUUUGUUCCUAUCAAGUUAAAAUACGGGCCGGAGUUGCCAGGGGAAUUAAGGCAUAAUGUGGUGUCUGCAUGAUAUUCGGCCCCUGAUCCAACUCUGCCCCAAGACACGGAAGAAUUUGUCGAUGAGGCACCAACAGCAAAUCCAGAGUGCCCAAAUCUGUUAUCCAUAGACACUAUUUGCAGGAAGGAUCUAUAAUCUCAAGCAACCCACGACAGAAAAGAACCAGUUAGCCAGACUUCCGAAACUAAGUAGUUAACAAGCAUUACAACAGAGGCCGGAGGCUCUUUAAAAGGUAAUUGCCUCCUCCACUAACAAAUCCCGAGGUAUCACAACGGUCCAUUUCCAGAUAAGAGAGAAAACUACGCAGUGAGAUUAAGCUACAACCAAUUAUUAGCAGACACUGGUGUCAUCAGAUAAGAUCAAAGCAACCAAUGUUCCUGUUGGAGAAAAACACUAGUUAGCAAGAUGGCUUAGCCAAACCAAGGGAAUCAAGAUUAUUUCAAAUUAAACUUUCUACAAAGCAAAUGAUAUAGUUUAUGAUAAGAGAACUAAAAAGAAAUACAAGGUUUCAUUAUGUGCAUGUUCAAGGGAAACGGGCUAUACAGUGCAUGAUCAAUAAGACAGCAUCUAAUCCAGAAAGCUAAUACAAAAAAUUUUGUAUGUCUUUUUCAGUAUUUUCCACUUUGUAAGAGAUUAUCCCUUUGAAAAUUAUGACAUAGUCUCUUCUGAAGAAAAUUCUAAGAGGGAUCAUUAAAAUUCAUAACAAUAGACAGAAAUUCUCAAUACUUCAACAAUGAGAUGUGCACAUUAAUCUAAAAGUACCAAAAAGUAAUUAAAAGGAUUUCAAGAUAUCAAUUGUUUCCAUUCACAAAGCUAAUAAGUAUCUUGAGCAAGGAAUGCGGAACCGUCCAUAAUCGCCCGGUUCAAAGCGUACCAAGCCAUGCCGGCAGCAGACCAGGACGGUUCCGGAGGCAGACCAGGACGGUUCCGGAUGCAAACCAGGACGGUUCCAGCAUUCAAAAUGGUGAACCAGCAGGUGGGAGGAGAGGAAGAAGGAAAGAGAGGAAAAGAGGCGAGAGGAAGAGGGAGAGGGAGGGCCUCCAGAAGCCUCCGGAGGGCGCUAGAGGGGCGCCAAAGGGCUAGAGUAGGGGCUUCGCCCUUCGGACCCCUAUGAUGUUCGAAUUAGAGGUCCGUUGGGGCUCUUUUUUUUGUUUUGAAAAUUUUUAGUGAAGUCGACAAGAGGUUUUCCGACUUCACUUAAAAUUUGAGCCCCUUUUUUGGAAAUUUAAAGUAAAGUCAACAAACCUCUUGCCGACUUCACUUAAACUUUUCAAAAUAAAAAAGGAGCCCUGACAGACCCCUGUUUCGAACGAAACAGAGGGUCCGGAGGGCGGAGCCCCUGCUCCGGCCCUUCGCCACCCUACGAAGGCCUUCGGCGACCCCCCCCCCCUUUUUUCCCUCUCUCCCAUUCUCUCUCCCGCUCCCUCACCCUGUUGUGUCGGUACAAGCUCGACACGGUUGGCCCGGCACAGAACGACAUAGGGGCAUACCGAACCGUGCCACCGGCCGACCAAUACAGGCUCCAGUAACAGCAUGGCAGACCUUGAUCUAAAAAAAAACAUCACUGCACUUCACAAACAUCAGGAACCAUCCAAGUUAGUCCUGACGAGCUAAGAAUCCUGAGAGAUACAUGGAGCCACUGAAUUGUUGAUAGAAUACAUACACACACCCAUAAAAGAGAGAAACAUGCCAGACAUCUUGCAUAAUCUAAACAAAAAAUCAAAACUUUUGACUAUUUUGUCAAUGAAUACAGCAACACACACACACAAAUGCCAAAAACAAAAAAACUUGAGGGUGAGAAAUAAGCACAGUUCCCAUUGCAAAGUUUAGACAAAAAAUGUUGAACAUGAAUGCAAAUUUUCAAUUUUCAAUUUCUCUAUUGCUGGACAAUAAAGCAUGCUUAUUUCCAUAGAGUAGAAAAAUGCCAGGAACCUUUCAAAAUGCUUAUCGAGAAAAAAGGAAUUAUGAGUAUUAGAUCGAAGAAUACUGAAGUCCUGCCAAUAAAGCCCGAAAAAUGGAAAUUAAAAACUCGCAUAAACUUUUAUUUCAAUAAUGAUUAUUAUUAUGAUGAUAAUAAUAAUAAUAACAACAAAAGCACUGCUUCACUGGGGAUUGGGGUGUUUUGGGGGCCAAAUACCUAUUUUGCUGUCAGAAGCUCAGCAGAAAGCCUGGAUUGUGCCAAUUUAAAAUACACAUAGCACUUUCUACAGCAAAUGCUUGUCUUUGGUAAAAGCAGAGUUGCACAAGUAAAUGUCCCAUUAAAUAUCAGACAACAAAAAAACAACUGAUAAGAAUACAGGAUCUCAAGAUUUUCCUAUAAAAUGAAUAAUGAAGCAAAGAAUAAAACAGAAUCCAACUACAAAAUCAACACACUCAAUUCAAUUACAAAUUGAGGCUUCCACAACUUUCCUCAUUGUAUAUGUUGUAAUCUUGCUUCGAAAGCAGUUACCUUAAAAAGGAAGAACUAGAUAAGAGUAUAGUAUUCCUUAGUAGUUUGGUAGUCUAAUUUUGGGGAAAAGUGUCAGGUAUUAGAAAAAAAAUGAAACGAAAUAUGAAAGCCAUCUGGGAUGAAAUUGUCAGGCAAGGUCGGCGGAACCGUCCCGAACCGGAUGGUUCUGGCCGAUCCGAGCCGUACCGGUAGCUCACCAGUACAGCUCACCAGUACAUGUCUGGCAACGAAAAUAAGAUCCAUUGCCAAAGUCGGAGAAGAAGAAAAGAGAGAGCGAGCAGGGAGGGAGGAGGGCCGAUGGAGGCCGCGGCAGGUUCUCCUGUUUCGAAAGAAACAGAGAUCCGGCCGCGGCUAAAAAAUUUCACGAUUUUUAAGUGAAGUUGGCAAAUCGUUCGCGGAUUUCACUUAAAUUUUUUAGCCACAGCCGGACCCCUAUUUCAUUCGAAACAGAAGAACCAGCUGCGGCCUCCGCUGGCGUCUGCCACCCUCCUCCGGCCUUCCCUCCCCCGCUCACUCUCUCUUUCUCUUUUCCUCUCUUUUACGGUGUCGUGCCCUCUCUCGGUACAAGCUCGGCACGGCCCGUACCGAGUCAUCCCGCCGAAGAACCGGUAUAAUGUCCGAUACUGGUUUCUCCGACCUUGUUGUCAGGUAUUAGAAGUUUGGCCUUUAGGUAGUGGGUUUUGUUCGAUUUUUGGUGAAUAUCUCCCUCAACAUCAUCUACUCAUCUUGGUACAAUAGGGUCACUCAUAUUUAAGGCAAGCAGAUGCAGCAGAGCAUGGACACAACCCAUGCUGGAUGCAUGCAUACACAAGUUAGAACCAAUACAACAGAUGGCGUGCACAAUAAAGGAAAAAACAGAUAAUUGAAAAGGAGAAAACUAAGUUUGGUUUUAUGUUAGAAAAUGACAUAUUUUGGUUCUGUAAGCAUGUCUUACAUUAUUUGAAAGCUCGUUAGUUUUAAGAAGAGACAAGAAAAGAGAGAGCUUACGCUAUGUAAAAUCAAGGUAAAAAAAGGCUUGCUAAUUAUAGAUUGAUGAAAUCUUAUUCUUAAUUAUUAAAAAGUUGUACAAUCUACGAAAGCAAAUUCCAAGUGGUAUCUAAAAGGAAAAAUUUUUGCUAACAUCUGUUGAUUCAUCACGCAUUUGUUAAAUGCCUGGAAUGUGAUGUAAAAAUUAAAAGCCAGAAUUGACAAAUUUUUAUCAUCAGAAUUUUAAUACAGUUUGAAUUCAAAAUGGCAUACAACUUCAUUAUCUGUAAAUUUGCGGAUUUAAGGAACGCAGAUGGGUGGGGCCAGGUCCCAGUUGAGCUACACUUUAGCCAAUUCGUCUUUGGGCCUGUAAUUUAAACCUUCGUCCAACUUGAUGAGUCAGGAAACAUUCAUUCUAAGUCAGCUUUAAGCUCAAAGCCAAGAGCAAUGUACAAGACUGAAAUUUUAAACAAUUCUUUUUCAGGUCUAAUAAGGUCCAGUUAGAUCUCAUCAAGUUCAAUUCAGUUACAGCUAUUCUCGAAUAAUCUGGAGAUUUAGGUCUCAAUUUAGGACUCAUAUCUGACCUCACAGACAUAAGUUAUGAACUCGAUCAAAAUAUGGUUGAGCAAUGGGCAAAUCGAUGUCCAUCUGACCCACUUCUGCCUCUAGGUAUCCAAUUAUUAACGUUCUAGGAUCUUAAAAAAAAAAAAAUCCUUUAAGAUUGCUAUACCAAAUAUUAAAAAUUGAUAUGCUUGAUAGUCAUGUAAUAUAGAAAAUCCUUAGUUUAUAUUGCAAUGUGCAAUGUAAUUUUGACCUAAUUCAUUCUCUUUCGCCAGAUCUAACCCAGCUCUUGAAGUAAAUAAGACGCCUAUGAUCAUGCGAUAAAACAUCAAGUAUUAACGCUCUAGUAUCUUAUAACAAAUUAAUUCCUUUAAGAUUUUUAUACUUAAUAUUAUAAAAAUCAAUAUGCUUGAUGCUCAUGUUGCAAUGUGCAAUGCAGCUUUGACCUAAUUCAUUCUCUUUCACCAGAUCUAGCCAUCGCUUGAAGUAAAUAUGAUGCCUAUGAUGACACGAUAACCCAUCAAGUAAUUCUAAAGAAGCGACACCAUGAAAUCUGGAAGUCCACAGCAUCUCAAAAUGAAAAGUGGUGCACUGAUAUAUGAAAAUUAUCACAAAAGGGGCGUACAUGGGAUAAUUCUUGAUCCUAUCUGAAGUCUAACACAAGGUAGCUGAGCCAUAAUAUAAGUAGCAUUAAAAUUGCUCAAAUAAUGAGAAAGGAUGUGCACUAGAUCCUUGGCAACCAGAUUAGUGUACUGAUUUGCGCAUGCAGGUCACCACCACAAAUCUCAAACAUGGGACUGGGUCAUAUAGGUAUUCUAUCAUUUGUGCAUCACUAUGAAUUGGAGUAAUGGUUUGUAGGAUCAGUGUAGAUGAUUUGGGAACUCAAGAUCUUCGUAGGCACACUGACCCACGUGUGUCUCCCAUCUCUGUCUGUGUCCGCGAGAGAGGGAGAGAAAGAAAAUUAGAAAAAGUAGUUAAGGGGAAAUAUUAUAUUGUAUAUGAAAAAAAGGAACUAUCUGUUAUGAAUAAUUUAUUGUAAAACAUAAAGAAAAUUUAAAAAAGUAGUAGCAGCUUAGAUAACAUGUCAGUCGUCAGAUCUGCAAAAUUUAUCCCAUGAAACAUUGCUACACAUAGCUUUAAUCUUGGUUAUCCAAUUGAAGAUAUCGAGCAUCUGUUAGCUUCUAAUAGUCAGUCAUGAAUGCACACACUUCUGGUGUAAAAUUGAAUCAUUUUAGAAUGUGUAUUGUGCAAAUUUAUGAAAUCCAUGGGGUCUAGAUGAUAAGAUCCAACAAUUUAAUUAUUUGUAAAGGCAUAUAAAAAAUGAUGUCAAUUAGUUUUAUUGACACAGAAGAAAUGGAAUGUUAAUAGAUCUGCACAACUAAUAGAGGGAGAAAGAGCAUUCAAACAGCCAUUAACAUAUUUGUUAAGAUGAAGAGGCCUAUCCAUGGACAGACAUAGGUUGCAGUGGAUUGGUGCACUUAAAACAUGCAAGAUGAGGUCAGAGAAUAAACACUUAAAAGGUAGAAAAGGCAGAUUUAGGAUCGGACAGGCAAACAAAGAAGGAUCAACCUAUUCUUCAUGAAGAAUGAAGGAAGCAGAGUUUGGGAGAGGCAUGAAGAUAGAGUAGGAGUCUUAUGGUGCUUGAGUUCUCAAUAUGCUUUGAACUUUCACUCAAAGUGGAAUUAAUACUGGGCUGAUUUCAGAUUUAUGUCCGAGACAAACUUAUUGGGCUAAAUUUACAUAUGUGAGCUAUGCAUGUCAAUUCUUGUCAUUUCUUCAGUUUUUCAAUCUUGGAAACACCUCUACACUAGAAGCACUGCAACAUUGCAUCCGAAGAGAUCGACAGCAAAAUGAGCUUUUUGGCAUUAGAAGAAAUAUCUUAACUCAGAUCUUAUAUUCAUUCCAAUUGUCCCAUGCCAGAUUAUCAUCAAAAGUACAAAAUGAUAUAUUAUACUCAAAUUAUGAUUAUUCAAUAUCACAUUUUCAAAAUAAUGUUUCCAUUAUCUCACUGCAAAGCCAACGAAAUGAAAUUCCGAAAGGUCCAAAAUAACAUAUCACACCUUCAAAUGAUUUGAUUUCAAUAUUAUAUCCUUAAUAUAGUUUAUUUUCGUUUUAGUUUUAUUUCCCUAAUCUUAGUUAAUGUUUUAGUUUGGCAAAACUAUCAAUAGAAAUUGUUGGAACUGAAGCUGAAAGCACCAAAUACCAAUUUAGACCCAACCAAUAUCAAAACUAAAACUGAGUUUCGAACCUUGGUUCUCGAAUAACAGAAAUCACUACCACCAGGAUUUAUGAAACAGAUUAGGAGAGGUUAAUUUUCAAAACAAAAUAAGGAUAACUCAACAGAAUAAUCAGUCCAUUAGCGAAAAUACAGAGAAACUGAUAAUCACAGCAUAUUUACACAAAAACCAAAAAAUGAGUAUUUAAACCAGCGUUGGAACCAUUAAAGUAGAUAAACAGAUGAUGUGAAAUUAGUCAGUGAUUCCAGUAGGAAUCAUGAUUAGAAUAACGUCAGCAAUUAGAGAACAUAAAUUCCUUAAAACAUAGAGGAACAGAAACGCAUAUGAUGCCCCAAGAUUAGAGAACUUGUCUAAAUUAAAAGCUAUAUAAGCACACGAAUCUGAUCUGACAAAUCCAUCCAGAUAUCAAAUUACCAAAUUAGAUUGAUGAAAAGUUCCAGUCACUCAAAGCAAGGCUUGGAAAAAAAAAUGCCUAAAAAUAACUAAUAUAAACAGAUGGUAGAUCAGCGAGAUUAUUGGAGGGAUUCACUACUGAAGGAAACAGCAUGCAGACCAAGACAGUAGCUCGUCCUUGUGAGAGCUAGACAAACCUCAAGCCACGCGCAAGGUUCAAGGACUACUGCACAAAACCACUGAUGAUGAUGUAUCUGCAUGAGGAAAAAUAGUAAGAGAAAGGGCAAGGUUAAUAGCUUUUAAUUUGUCCGUGACAUAAAAUAUAGGUGCAGCCAAUAAAUUAACAUACUACUUAUAAAUUUUAUAACUAUACGCAUGUAUAUUGUAAAUAGCACUCCAGAUUCACUAGACCUUUAUAUACCACUACCUUCCGUAUCUUGACCAGCAAUGAGAAAUACACGGUUACGCUCCGAAUACGGACCACGCCUCUGACCUUCACCUGAAGAUGAAGGCUUUUCCUUGUUCUAGAGCAAAAUGUGACGGCUUUUUUCAAAGACCAAACAUAAAAACGGAAUAAAAACAAGAAAAAGAAGAAAAACCAAGUAAAACCCUCAGGAAUCAAGAAAUUACAGCGCAAACAGACCAAUCCCAGAACAUCGAUCGGAUUUUAAUUAUAAAAACACGAAUCCCGCAAGGGUUCAUGUAUCGAGUCCAAAGUUUUCUAGACAAUCCGACGAAAAAAAGAUUACAAAUAAAAAAAAAACCUAAGAACGAAGCGAAAGCCAGAGUUUUGAAGAAGGAAGAAGGAAUUUUAACGAACAAGAACACGAAAUUCGAACAAGAUUUUUCAAUCCAACAGAGAUAUGGCACGCGAAAGUUUCGUCAGAACACGAGCUACCUCCAAGGAACGCCGAACCGAGCAACAAAGAUCAAAAGAGAGCAGGAACCCGUAUAAAUACACAGAUCGCGCCGGCGGCGCGAGAGAGACGGAAAGGAAGCGGGCCGCACCUGGAAUCGGUGAUUCCAAGAAAAAGGAAUCGAAGAACCCGAGCAGCUUGAGAUCCCAAGCGAGGCGAUGGGGACUAGGGUUUCUCCUGGACGGGAGCAAGAACCAGAGCCACGGGGGGAGAGAGAGAAACGAGGCAAAACGAAAGCAAGAGGAUAAGAAAAACCCCAGCUCCCGGAUAAAAACAGUAGAACCAUGGAAACCAGCGCAAGUGGCCGGAAAAACCAUUAUAUUAAAAAAAGAAAUGGACACAUGAGUCCUCCUUGCUCAACCUAAUUCCAACAUAGUCACUUUCUUCUUUCAAAAAAAUAUUAAUUUAAACGUUUGGAUCAGGGAGACAAACAAGUGCUUUGUUAAUUCUACUAAUUAUUUUUAAUAUGACGUUAAUUUAUCUAUUAUCAUUAUAUAAAUUCUUCAAAACCUUUUUCAUUAUUCAAAAUGUCACAAUAAGGAAUUUAUAAUAAAAGAAAUUCGUGUUAUAACAAAUAAAAUAAUAAUUAAAAGAAUUUUGCUGCGGUGCUUCUAACUUUUCCGAUCUUAGCCAUAGAUUCGAGAAUCAAGUCUCAAAAUAAAAUAUUGGAUAGUCGAUAAUAAAGGAUCAAAAUCUAUAUUUUUUUUUACCCAACCUCAAUUACUCUUCCGAUCUUAACGAGAAAUUGGUCGUCAUCAACACUAGUGAACAUGUUAUUGCUACUCCUCCGAUGAUCUAAAACGUUCUUUAUGGUGUCCACCCAAGCUGGGAGGGAUCUACCGACCUAGUGAUGGCCUUAGCUAUCUCCUUUCAAGGGAUGAUGAGGUCUUUAAAUGGGACAUCAUCGAUCUGGCAAUAGCCUUAGCCAUCUUCUUUAGAGGGAUGAUGAGGUCCCUAGGUGGGACACCACGAAUUGUCAAAGUCAAGCAUGAUCCAUCUAAUGAUAAGACUAAUGGAGAUGCCAUCGUCAAGCAUGCUAAAGGAAUGAAGUGGCCUAUAAGGUAUAUGUCAUCAGAGUAGGAGAAGAGGUUGGCAAGGUUGAGUUGGCUUGGACGGCGAGGGGUGUGGAGGUUGUCAAAGACUAGCACAAAUGAUGAUAGAGAGGAGUUGGAAGUGGCAAUCUAAAAGCUAAGGAUGGAUGGAAAUUUGGUGGAAAAGAAAGCAACGCCACUGCCAUUGUUGUUGUUGGAUUCCAUUUUCACCACCGCUUACCGCUUUAUUUUUCAGUAUACCUUUUUAACAAUGGAUGGUUACCAUUAUGACUUUAUUCUUAUUAAAAAAAAAUAUGGAAGCACAUAGGAAUCAUUUUUGGUAAACGCUUGGAGCGGUAGGAUCAUUUUGUCCCGUUGAAAUGGUAUUUAAGGCAGAAAAAUAAACUAAUUUGAGAUUUGGAAGGAAGUCAUGGACUGAUGUGUUAAAAUACCACGUCGGCGUUGUCGCGCGGACCCGAGCCUUCCGAGCCGGGUGGUUAGGGGCCGACCCGAGGCAAUGACACGUCAUCCUUGGCGUCAGCCUGGUUGGGCCCCACGCAACGUUCGUCGGCGGUAGGUUCGUGGUUCGUCGGCGCGGGUGCUCGCUGCUGCGGCGUCGGGUCUCUUUUUCGGUCUCUUUUCCUCGGCGCUGCUACAGGUUAUGGGUCUCGACGUGCGGGCCCCACGAAUCCCCUGCCCCUGAAAUGUCGUCCUCUGGGUCGAGGCUCUUCCGCUAAAGGUUAUUAGAAUCUGACAGGUAUUUAUCGCAAGAUUUCCUCUCUCUUUUUUUUCUUCUUAAUUUUAAAAAAAAAAUUAUUCGAAAGAGGUUUUAUGGUCAGAGAUUGAUACAGUGCCCCCACCUUUAAGCCAUUUUAUUUUUCUUGAUACUACUGGUUAAACUCACAUUAGAUUAUUUUGAACAACCGUUGCACUAAAAAGAUUAUAUGCUGCCUCUGCACAAAAUGGGUUCAUAUUGUAACAUAAAGGAAGGUUCACAGUAAGUUAUUUUCCUUAAGCAUUACGUAGCAGGUUUGCAUCUAUGGCUGACCAUUUUGUCCCACCUACUUUGGAUUUAGAAGUCAAAUCAUCUGCAUGAGUCUUGUUAGCAAUGCAUUAGAAAUUGCCAUCUUCUUGAUGCUGCCUAUCCUCUUCUUGGAAGGAGACUACCUUUGUUUAGAUAAACUGCCAACCGUGACUCUUGUUGUAGGAGGUCAAGGCUAUGGAGUAAUUUUAUAGCAUAUCUCCAUAUAUAGUGGAUAGAUAGGAACAUUUGAGAGAUUGUCCAAAUAAUAAUAUAAUAAUAUAAUAAUAAGAUUUAGUUUGGUAUUGCUAUAGGUAGUAGAGCUUUCAUUUAUAGGACUUUGAGUAGUAGAAUUUUUGCUAGUAAAAUCUUUUUAAUUAAAAGUUAUUUGCUUUUUGGUUAUUGUGAAACUUCAAUAUAUUUGGUAACUAAAUUGAGAAAGCACUUUUAGUAUGAAAAAAUGACAAUAAAAAAAUAUUAUAUAGUGCUUUUAAGUAUCUAGCUAUUAUACUAUCAAAAACCAUUAUUAUAAAGUAUUUUUAACUUAUCAAUUAUUUAAUUUUAUAUUUUAUUCUAAAUAAUAUAACAAGCAAUAAUUUUUUAUAUUUAUAAUAAAAAAUAUAAUAAUACUUAUGCAAUACUAUUAUGUUAUAAUAUUUUUUGAUAUAAUAAAAUGAUAGUAUUGCAGUACUAUAAUAUUAUUAUACAAUUGUUGAAUCAGGAGGAUCUCUAGUAUUUGAAACCGGUCUUGAAGCGUAAAUUAACACUGUCCUCAAGCGAAUUUUGUCCCCCACUAUGUUGCUAUUGGUGAUCCAACAAAUACGCUCCAAGAUAUAACAAAAUCGAAAUAGAAUCCUAGCCAACAAAACUAGGAUUCCUCAGAACAACUGAAUGAAAGAUUUUGUAGAAGAAGUUGUAUUAAUCUGUGAAGGAUAUUGGCUAAUUAUAACCCUGAACUAAACUCUGAACCAACAUAACUAUUGGAACAAUAUCUGUUCAAAACAUUAUUGCUCAUGCAGUUAUUUUGUGCAAAAUGGAUAAAAACUGCCAAUCUAAAUUUUAUUUUACACGUGCAUGUGCCACGUGCCAAUCUUUGAUUAAUAUAAUAUUGACUUUCUCUCCACAACUUUCCACCAAAAAGUCAUUUUAACAUGUGUAGGAUAUGAAUGCUUAUAAAGCUAUCUAAAAAACUCUACACAAGUAAUGUGGGACUAAAACCCCCCUCAACAUUACAAACUACCAAAAGAAAGGAGACUUCCAACAACAAUAACAUAAUAUAAUAAUAAUGUUAGUAUAUUAUUAUAUUAUAUUAUGAAAAAUUAGCAUGGAUAUUCUCAUCUCUACAAAAAUUUAUGGAAAUAGAAAUACCAUUCUUUGUUUUCUCAAGUAGUACUUUCGCCAAAAUGGAGCUUUUUCCCUAUAGGCUUCUUUUAGCUUUUAGAAGGAAUAGAAGGCUAUUUCAAAGUUUUUAACAAUCAUCUCGAAAUAAUCUAAAAAAGUUUUUGACCCUCCAACCACACAAGGCCUAUCAGGAUCUAAAAGGAAGGAGACAUAAGCUUUUAUGUAAAGUAGAAUAAGAUCUUUUAUGUAAGUAGGAAAAGAUUAGAUAAAAGUAAUGACAAUGCUGUAUGGAGGAGAUUUCUUACUAUUUAUUAAAUAAAAACCUUACUGAAAAAAAGUCCCUCAGCUGUGUUAUAGUUUUUCCUUUGCUUUAGCCAACUCACAUUUGCAGUUUGAUUGACCCUUUGGGCGAGCAUUGUGAGUUACUGAAGCAAAUUUGUUAUUUUUUAUUUUUUCCAAAAACGUCUUGUCAGUUGCCACAAUCCGAUGCGGACUCAAUAUUGCAUUCUAAAUCUGACGUCCAAAAACUAGAAUUUUACCAAGAUUACACGCGUUCAUCAGGGAUUCCGAAAGUGCUUUCAGAUCCCCAUCCCCUUUCCUCACGUGCCAGAAGUCGCGCAGAGUCGACUUUUCCUCUUGUUUCUAUCACAGACAAACUAUGGUCUUCUUAGUCUUGCAAUAAAUGUAUAAAAGAAUGAAGAAUAUUAUCCCUGAGAGCGAAGAAAACAAGCAUUAGAGUAGCCUGGGCGUGUGGACUCGAAUCUUACGUUACGAAGCCUACCUCUCAAGUCUACGGCAGGUGAUGCUAUAUUUGGUAGGGUCAAGCCACGAAACCAAAGAUGGUGACUCAGGCAUUUUGAACUUGGUGAGUAGUGCUCAUCACUAUGAGAUACUUCUACACGUCUUCUGCAUCAAUUUUUAAAUAUAUUUUUUUUCUAAUUCUUAAGAGUAUAUAAAUGCAUAUACUCGUUUUAUAGAAUAAAAAAACAAAAUGUUAGUCUCCAAAUCGAUGACUUUUGUCAGUUCGAGUCUAGUUCCAGCGAAGGUAGAAGUGAAAAAUAAGACUAGAGUUUUUGCCGAGCAAGGAUUCUGAAAAUAAUCCACGCUUUAACAAAUAUUCGACUCUUGAUGUUUAAGAGAAAAAGCAACCGAAAGUGCUUUCAUCCCUUCUUUUUUUUCCUUUUUUUCUUUUUUUUUGCUGAAACGGGCAUUUCAUACAUUAUAGGUACGAAUAUACCCAAUAGUACGAAUAUAUCCUUUCUUUUAAUCUUCUGUCUAAUAAUGCUGUCUAAUAAUGCAGGCAAGACUAAUCUGCAGAUAGAUAAUAAAAUAGUCUUGAAUCAAAUGAAGAUUAUAGUCAUGCGGUGCUCAUGUUUGCCGUUAGCAUACAGUAAUCGAGCUCAAAGUGCCCACAAGUUCAAGACAGCUUAGCUCUAAAUAACACUAUCUUAGGUCCUGCUAUAACAAGUUUAGUCCACCUCUAUUGCAACAGUAAAGUUCUAUAACAUCACCUAAAAUUUCUGUGAUGGUGGUUUUUAGUUCGUAAUAAUGAUUUUAUCAACAUAAAGAACAAGAAAUAGCUCUUGUUAUAUAUGUGCAUUACAACCAUCAUAGAUGAUGUGCAACAAUGUUAGGAGCAUCAUACAGCAGUCAAACUAGCUGUAGCUGAACUCUUUUAAAAAUGUUAUUCCACAGGGAAUUAAUGUUCCAAGAUAGCGAUAUUAAUGUAUUAUACAGACUAUGCAACAACGCCAGCAACAAUGAUCACAAGACAAGAACAUAAUUAGAUAAUUAGGUAGAUUAUGAUAUAAUUGAAAAUAGAAAAUAGUUGAUGCUAUACAACACUGUUAUGACUUCUAAGAAUAAAUAUUAUGACGAAAUAUUACUUUACUUCAAAAAUAAGCUUGCAAAGUUUUUGGCUCCCCAACAAUCAUUUAGGAAACAUCAUGGAGAAUCAUAAAAUUGAGGCACUGACUAAUUUCAUUUCAUGGCAGCUUUGAUGGGUUUUGCAUCUUGGAAACCAGAGGGAAUGUGGAUUUAGGAAAUGUAAAAUCAGCUUUAGUACAACAUAUUAACAAAGUCAUUACCCAGUCCUCUGGAAAUUCAAUUCCGGCUACAACAGAAAAUCAUUUCGGCCUCCAAAAGGACAAGCAUUCACAUGUCUAAAACUUCUGCGAUUGAUGACAUAAGCUGCAAACUAGUGCCCAUUCAAGCGGCCAGCUUCAAAAUCAUUGCAUGCUACAGAACUGGUGCUCACCCUUGUAGGUAUCCUAAGCAGGCACCAUCUCAGGCAAUGUCUCGAAUGGGAAGUCUUCAUACCCAGUGAUGCCGGUGAUCCUUAUCCGUGUGCGAGGCUGCAUAGGUUAUCCAAGAGUUAAUCAACUUGAACACCAGAAUGUCUAGCAUGUUUCAAAAUUAUGUUGGCACAAUGUACAAACAAUGAAGUUGUUUUUUGUGUCAGGAGAAAGCUCGAGUAUUAAUAAUGUUAAAUUGCUGUGAUCAGGAUGCCCAAGAAUACCUGUCGGUGGCCGAUCGUCCUUCGAUAGUUCUUUUUCUUCUUGAACUUGAAAACGAUAACUUUUUUAUCCAAACCCUAUGUUAAAAGAAAAGUUCCAAGUCAAGCAACUGAUUGCUUUUGAAGUUACAUCAACUGCUGGAAGAGGGCUACCUGUUCUUCAACUACUGCAUGCACUGCAGCAUUGGUUACAACUGGCUGCCCGAUAUAUGUCUUUGUCCUAGUUCCAACUAGCAAUACUUUGUUUAGGAUAAUCUGCAAAUAGAAUCAUCACACACGGUCAAAUGGGUAUAAUAUUAACUAGUUAUCAAGAGAAACAACUUUCAAUAAGAAUUGACAGAGCCUGAAAGACAGCAGAUUGAAUUUAAAGGGCUCUUGAAGUUAGUUUAUGGUAAAGAUAACAGAGCAAGCCAUAUAUUAGAUGGAGUUACGAUAACAGCUCACCUUUUAAGAAGUUUGAUUUGUCAAUAAUCUUGGCAACAACAUGGCAUGUCAUUUUACAAAUGAUAUUAAUAAUGCUCUGACACUUAAAUUUCAUCUAUUCAUUAUAGUUUGAGACUCUACAUACUUUAAAAAAUAAACACUUAGUUUUUGUACACCAAGUGUUCCCAUGAGAAAGUACCAAAGGGUUCAAAAGUUGAACUCUAUAGACACUCUGGCAUGAAAUGGCACUCUACUGGAGGGAGAUUCGGCCACUGUGAUCAGUUGAGUCCGAAAGCGCUCGAGUAGCUAUGGGAGAGUUCACCUCCUGCUCCGUAACAUUUGGGAUAUGGCGAGGGAGGUCACAUUACAGGCCAUGCAUGUAUAUCGUGAGGCCAACGGGGCGGCCGACUGGGUGGCGGCAUAUGUUGCGAGCCACUCAGGAGGCACCCUAUGGUCUGGAGAGAGAGAGUGCCCGGAGCACUUCGGGACCUUUUGUUUUCUGACUCUAUUAGGUGUAUUCGUACCCGUGUUGUAUAAAAUACCCGCUUUAGCAAAAAAAAAAAACAAAAACACUAUGGCAUGGCAAGUUUCCCAUGAGACUGAUUCUACAUAAGAGAUAAUACCUGUGCAAAACCAACACAUGAGAAGCAGAUAGAACGAAUACAUCUCCAUCCUAUCUCAUGGGGUAAAGUCAUGCAAGCAGCCUAUAAGUUCUAGGUUUUUCUCUUUUGGUUAAAGAUUCUACUGUAAAUUUUUUAUAGGUCAGAUACUGACACUAAAUCCUGAAACCUUACCCACAAUCCGAACAUAUCCUAGAUAAGAAAAAACCUAAUGCAUUUCCACAUGGUUGCAGCAUUUCUCCAUCCUCUUAAAGCAUCAUUUUGUCCAGCAGCUGUCAGCUCCUGUGAGGGAAAACACACACAAAUUGCUUGCUUUAAUUCCAAAAGGGAUCUUGUUUUGAGAUUAGAUUUCAAUUUAUAUCUAAAAGAGAUCAUCAAGUAAAAAUGCAAAUGGCCAGACGAACAACCUAAGACAACCAUAAACCACCUUCUCUCUCUGUGUGUGUGCGCGCGCGCGCGUGUAUGUUAAAUGUACUCCAUAAAUAAGGAAGGGAGAUAAAUUAGUAAGUAAGACCUGUUUCAUUGCAGAUGAAUCAGAAAAAAGAUAGCUCUGCCCCAUAUAUAACGUACGGUAACCAGCUGGACACCUUUAUCCAAUUUCCCAGCAUGAACUAGGGCAGGUCUCCUCUAAAUCAAAUAACAACUUGAAGUGAUGACUAGAUCCUAUCAACUUAAUGAAAAUAAAGUCUAACAUGGACAGCUAGCUUGUAGGAGACACCAUCUACUUCAAUAAAACCUAGUUAGACACAAACAUCAAAAUUCUUUUCCUCAAAAAUAGUUGCAGAUUUUCUUCUUGCUUCAAAAUGUGUCUCACCUCUUCUAGAUCCCAAAAUACUCACAUCCUAUUUGUCAAACUGAGUGCGAAGGCACAAAGUUCAGCCUCUACACUCCCUGCUCCUUUUACCAUAAAGUGAGUCAACCUGAUACCUUUAUUAUUAACAUAAACAAGUCCUGAAAUAUUCUGGCCAAUGAAGUAGCAUCUAUUGAUUCAGAAACCAGACUAAUCUAAUUACAUGACAAAACAAAUAAGCCUAGAAGACCUUCCAAAAUCAAACUAAAGCAGGAUAUUUUAACCCCCACUAAUGCACUGGGAGCAUAGCAACCUUGCCUUGUAUUUUUACUUCUUCCUCCUUUUAUCUUUGAUUUUUUAUUCUCUUUUUGAUCCACAAAGAAUCUCACCCAUGCAAGGUCAUACAAAGUCCCCAUCUUACCUUUCUUUCUUUUUUUUACAAUAAAAGAAACGGGUAACAUUCAACCAUACCUGUUAAACAUGGGAGUAAUACAUAAACAAUCUCCUUAACAACUGAUGUUAGAAGGCAAGGUUGUAAAAAUCUCUAAUAUUACAGAAAUUUUUUUAAAAAUAAAGAAAACGCAAAAUCAUGGUAAAUUUCAACUUUGUUACUGUGCCUAAUCCAAGAAUAUUUCACUAAUUCAUAUAAAAACAUCACGGGUGCCAUAUCUGCCACUCAUUAUGAUGCCUUCGAUGCGAUUCCAUGGUGAACAUACAAAACCUAAAAUUGAUCAUGCAAACUCAUGUUUGGAACCAACAUUUUGAGGCGAUUGACAUUGAAUCAAGCCUAUAAGAAAUACUCAUUCCCGAUUACCAAGAAGGCGUAGCUCUAACCUUAUCAUCGACAUUGGCUCCUUUCAACCUUUGGGUAUAGAUGAAUCUUCCAGGGAAAACAAUGUACUGCCUCGACCCAACCUGGCAACCAACAACAAGUAAGUUAAACAUACAUGCCCAAAUUACAUGAGAGAUUUUUCAAAAAAGAUUCAUACAAAGCUUCAAUUUUUGGCUCACCAUUAUGACCGCGAAGACGUCCUCACCCUUGGGGGUCGCAGCGGCGGCUAUCUGGGCCUCGACGGGCUCCGGCAUCGACGGCUCUUCGGGCUCCUCCGGCGAUCCUUCGGGAGCCGCCGACAAUUUCCAUUUCCGGGAGAACAAAGUGGAAGGAGAGACCAGGGGAGGAGCGGAGAGGAGAGGGGCUGGGGAAGUCGAGGAGCGGUCGACGGAGACGGAGAAGGGUCGGGCUUUCCUGUGGAGGAAAGCGAGGGUGGGGCCUCGAUUGGGGGGAGAGAGAGUGGCUGCAGCGGAGGACGGGGAGAGGGCGGCGGCGCACGCACUGGAAGCCAUCACUCGCUUCCCUUCGUGGUGGCGCUGGGGAUAAGGGUCGGGGUUACAUCAUCUUAUCCAAUUUAUAAUUGCUUUAUUCUGCGGCAGCAAAUACUAAUUAUAAUAUUAUAUAUAUACUUGUUUAUAUAUUAAAAUUUAUAUAAAUGUUUUUUUAAAAAAAUAAUAUGUAUAUUUUUAUAAAAUACAUUUUUGUAUAUAUUUUUUUUUUUCUUCUCACCAACACCAUCUAAUACGUUAGUUUAAAAUUAAAAUGACUAAAAUACUCUUAAAAGGUAGACAUAUAAAAAGAAACAUUUAUAAAUAUAUACAUGCAAAUAGUAAUUUUGUAAAGAUAUUCAUGCAAUUUUACAUAUUUAAUAGGAUUUGCAUGUAACAAAUUUUAAUUUUAAUUUUAUUUAUUUCAACUUGUUUUAACACUAAGAUUAGUCUAGUGCUUCCUCGUCAAUGAUUUCUAUGAAAAUAUUGUUCAUUAAAAAGAUAGAUUCAACGAUUAAAAUAAAAAAAGAGUUACGAAAGUUUUUUCACUAAUUAUAUAUUUAUUCUUCUUUAUUCUCCAUUUAUAACAAAUCACUAAAUCUUACUUGACCAUAAACUUGCUUGUAAUACUUAUUAUUAUAGAUGCAUAUAUAAGGAUAUGUAUCAAAAUAUAGAAAAGGAUUAGAAUCUUUUAAAGGCACACAAUAGUUUGCAAUGUUCAAACUUUCUCGUUACUGCUAUGCUUAUGGGUGAAAGAACAACAUUAAUUGUUCUGAACAAAAUCAUUAAAGGACUUCAAAACCCUUUUGACUUAUUAAUAAUCUCCGCAAUCAUGUGAUAGAAGAUCACCCCUUCAUUUUUUUUAGAGCUUUGAUUUUUUGAAAAAAGAAAAUAUCUAGUAUAUAGAACUCAUCCUGUCACAAUUUUAAAUUGGCCACCAACCUGCACAUGAAAAAUUUUCUAGCCUUAAAAAAUAAACAUUGCAAAUUCCAUACACUAAAAAAUAAAUAUUGCAAAUCUUUCACAAUACUUUUUUAAAAAUAAUCCAUAAAGCUGAUAGCGGGACUUGAUCAACUUCACGUGAAAAAGGAUACAAUGAAAGAAGAAUUUCAGUGGCAAUAAGAGGGACUCAAAUUCCGAUAACAAGAACUCUGGGGAGCGGAAGAGAGAGAAGGGCUACCUAUGGUGGAGAAGGAAGUCGAGGGAAUGGUUUUAAUUCUAGACGUAGAAGUGAAAGAGAGGAAUUGAGAAAGAUUGGAAAAUUUUUCAAAGAAGGUAGAGA
rnacentral:lncRNA from 1 species